UAAUACAUCGGAAUGUACCUAUUAGUGGGGGAUAACGUAGGGAAACCUACGAUAAUACCGCAUACGACCUUAGGGUGAAAGCGGAGGACCUUCGGACUUCGCGCGGAUAGAUGAGCCGAUAUCGGAUUAGCUAGUUGGCGGGGUAAAGGCCCACCAAGGCGACGAUCUGUAGCUGGUCUGAGAGGAUGAUCAGCCACACUGGGACUGAGACACGGUCCAGACUCCUACGGGAGGCAGCAGUGGGGAAUAUUGGACAAUGGGCGCAAGCCUGAUCCAGCCAUGCCGCGUGGAUGAAGAAGGCCUUCGGGUUGUAAAGCCCUUUUGUUGGGGAAGAAAUCCAGUCGGUUAAUACCUGAGUGUUAUGACGGUACCCGAAGAAUAAGCACCGGCUAACUUCGUGCCAGCAGCCGCGGUAAU
rnacentral:rRNA from 1 species